AAAAAAAAAUCCUGAUUUUUUUUUAAUUUAUAUAUAUAUUUUUUAAAUAAAUUAAAAAAAUUAAUUAUACAGUCAGCACGCCACAUAAUCAGAUAUGCACAGUCAGCAUGCCACUCAGCUCGCCACGUCAGCAAUUAUGUACAGUCACAUGGGUCAGGGGCUAAAACCAAAGAAUCUUAUUUUAGGAUUACUUUUUUUUUUUACAGGGGAGAAAACCAGAAUUCGCCCAAAUUACAGGAGGGUAAAAACAUAUUAACCCUUUUCCUUAUUAAUCCUCCCUCCUCAUACCCUUAAUAUUUAUGGUCACCGCAAUCAUAUCCACACACUCUAGGGAAUUUUUUCCCGAUGUAUCCCGCUUUUUAAUCCCACCUAGCAUAUUAAUAUCAACCUUAUCAUCUAUACUAAAAUUGACCCCCAGGAUACGAAGAAAUUGUGAAAAAAAUGUAUGAUAUUUGAUAUUGCUUUUGGUUUAAGUAACUUCUUUAUUUUAAACUAUAUUUUAACUAUUCAAGUUUUUGUUUGACACUAUGUUGAAGAAUCUAAUACUUAGUCAUAGAUCUCAAUAGAUACAAAUUAUAGCAUAUAAUUAGUAGUAAAGAAAGGAUAAGAAAUUGUGUACCUUAUAUAAUUGGUUGGUGAUUGGCUAUUAAGAUCCUGUUAGAGAAGCCAUUAGAGAAAGAGGUUAAGGUUGAGAGAGUCUUCUCUCCCUUACUGAUGCUGUUAGAAUGAGAGUGCCUUCAAGCAGUUAUCUGACCUGAUGGGAUAGUCAGUAUAUAUACGCACCAAUAGGGAAAGGGACCUCUCAACAUGCUUACUUUGAGAAACGGUCCAACCCAUCACGGUCCGUUUCUGAUUACAGCCCAUUAAUAAAUAUCCUUUUAUUUAGUGCAAUAUUAUAAUUAGAAUUAAUAGUUGAUAUAAUAAUAUAUUAUUUUAAUUAUUGAUUAAGGUUAAUCCAUAAAAUCCAACAUAUGUACGUUGUACUACUAUUAGGGUUUUUCAUCCAUUUAUGAUUUACCUAUCUAUGAAUUCCGACAAAAAAAAAAGGAAAUCUAUUGAAUAAAAUAGACACCGGAUCAAAUACAACUUUUAGUUGGUGGUCUCGUUUUCCAUUUAUGAAAUUAAUGAUGUACAGGUAGAUUUUUACUUGAUGGACUAGCUUUUAGUACUACUAUGAUGGGGGACAGGGGUGACCCUGAGCACGGACUCGGGGGUGGCAGCCCAGGGCACCACAAUUUUAGGGUACCAAAAAUAUAUUUUUUACUACCUAUAUAUAUACAUAUGUAUAUAUAACCUAUAAAAGAAAUGGAAAAUGCUAGUUGGUGAAAAAUUAUAGAGGCAUUGUAAAGUCAAAACUAAUAAAUGACAUGAUUAAAUGAAAUAUAAAAUAAAAUCACUUAACUACAUGUACCAAAAAAUAUUGAUUAUACUCUGGAGCAUGGACCCUAGCUUAUAGUUAAUUGGUUCACUUUUCAAAUAUUCAUAUUUGUGUUCUUGCACAAUGUGAUCAAAUGAAAUAUUUAAUAGUCUUUGAGCUCAUUUCUCUUAAUCUUAUAAUUUUUGUGGAUUUUUUUUAUAAAGGCACCACUCUUUUGAUUUUUCCAAGGCAUCCAAAUUUAAAGGACCGGCCCUGCUGGGGACUGAACCAAAUUGGCGUUGAGUCAACAAAGGUAUAGGGCAGUAGAUAAUAUUAUUUUUUUUUAAUCGGAAAAAUUUAUUAAGCCAAGAAUGUGCAAGAAAUACAAAAACUUAGAUCGCAGAGGAACAUACAAGGUGCCGUAUAUAUGCGGAACACCUGAAAUCAGACACAUCCGUAUACAAAAGGAACCUCUAACCCAUAACAAUAAACACCCAAAAACUAAAGAUAAUUCAAUCCCCAAAGCCUACCAAAACCUGAUGUUGCUGCCCACUCUAAAAUAGUGAACCGUACGCAACAGAACCAACAAAAACAACCAUGCUAUCCUAAAGAAGAAAGAUAAAAGUGAACCAACAGAACUCUAACAACCUCACACCUGUUAGCGCAAAACAGGUGACCAAAAAACCAGCACCUAUAGCCAUACAAAGACAAUGGAUAACCCCCCAAAAUAACCUCAUUCGGAUCUAAAGUCGGGUCGGAGUUUGGGUCGGGUUGCAUCAUGAUCGGGGUUGUACCCGCUUUUUGAAACCCGGUAUCCACCAACUCCAACCCAUGACCCGCUUCAUCCCCAAUCUCCUGUGAAGACGUGCCAGGUGUCACCCCCUCCAAGUGACCCACCUAUAGCACGUGAUCAAUCUCUUUUCUCAUCAUGUGACUGGAUUGCUCCCCUUCUCCAAACAGAACAUCAUUAUCUUCACUGCCACCUUUUACCUCUACAGCUUGUACUUUUCCUAAAGUUUCCUUUUGUUCUCAAUUGACUCUCCCACCUCCCUUGGUUCCUUGUACAGCUUUGUUGUAACGAAAAACUUAUACAGACAUAAAAUUGGACGCAUCUUAUGAUCCAAUUUAAUUUGAUUCAUCAUAAUAAUACUAGUAGACGCAAUUAAAUAAUGAUGUAUCCAAAUGUUAAAUAUUGUACCACGAAAUAGAAUUUUUAAAAGUUAAAUAUUGUAUUACCUCUAACCUUAACUCAUAUGAAUAGUACUACCUUUGUGCUUUCAAAAUAAAAGCAUUAGGCUUUUAUGAACCAAAAAUAAAUAUGUUUGCUUGUAUAUUUAAAAAGCUUAAAAUUAAACUAGCAUCAAAUUGGUGUGAUUUUUUCUCUCGAUAAUAUGGCAUAAAUUUUUUUUGUUCUUAAUAUCACAACAAGAAAAGUGAUAUCAUAUAUUGGGAGAACGACAAACAAAUUAUAGGUUUUGUCUGAAUUUAUGAAUUUGUGAGAGCCCACUCCAACAAAAGUGAGACCCCCAAAAUGAAAAAGGUUUGAUUCAUUUAUGGAAUUUGUGAGAACAAUAAACAAAUGUAUAGGUUUUGUGUGACAUGCACUCGGAAGCCUACCACAUGCACUUUCUUUAUGUUCUAGGCUUUAGAUAUAUGAAGAAAAUGAUUUGUUUGAUCAUUUUAUGAUCCUUUCUGAUUUUGGGCUCCUUUUCUAAUUCUUUUUCCAAAGCAAGUCAGGGUUUGUAAAAGGGUUCUUUUCUACUAUAAGCAAAAAAUGAUGACCGCAUGUUCGUGAGGGAUUAAUUUGUGCUUUACCAUCAAGUAUUUUCUUCCUCUUUUCUCUUGUUAAAAAGAGAAAGGAAAAAAUAAAAAACUCUGUCUUUUAUUAUGGAGCCCGCAGCUGAACAUGAUGAUAGAAGUAGGGUUUUUUUACUUUCUUUAUUUAGUUUGCCUGCCUUUAUUUCAUUUCUUUUAAGUGUACUAUCUUGUCACCUUUUUUAAGGGAUUUAGUUGCCUCUUUUCAAUACAUUUUAGCAGUAUUAAUAAAGUUGAAAAUGUGUACUGUGUGUGUAGUCGUUUGGGUUUUCUUAUUAAUAAUUAUAUUAAUUCUUUCUAUAAGAAUAAUUUUAUUGGCUUUUAGUAGUAGCUUUAUGAAAUCGGUGAAUAAUAAUUUAUUUAUAGAAUCUAAAUAAAUAAUACUUUCAAAAUAAUCUUUUUCAAAAUAUGAGUAUAAUCCCUAAAAAAAAUAUGAGUAUAAAGAAAAACAUUCUUUGAAAAUAAUAAUUUAAAAAUUAUAUUGUAUACUUAUAUUUGCCUUUGAUUUAGAAUAUGAAAAUACAUUAAAAUAUUUAAAAUAAAUAAUAGAGUGAUUGUAUUUUUUAAUCAAAUCCAUCACAAAGUUUGACAUGAGAUCUUUUGAUUCAAUCCAAUUUAAUAAAUAAUUUUCUUUUUAUAGAGACCGAGUCGUUCGAUUCAAUCCGAUUCUAUCAUGCGGUUCGACCAACGACUCAGUGGUUUGACCAAUGACCCAGUGAUUCAGUACCUUGGCCGAGUCAAUCACCGGUCCGAUUUUUAAAACUAUGCUCUCACCACGCGAUUACAGUAGUUUCUAUUGCCGCAAAUAAGUAGUACUACGUACCUACCCAUCAUAGAUUCAUUUCAUAAUCAGUGUCCCUACUCUUCUCUUCUUCCACACCCUCUUCAACCCAAUUGCCAACUUUAAAGUGUCACCCCAAUUGUCGAGUAAGAGAGAGAUGCAUAUGAAAGAGUUAAUACAAUGGAGGAGAGUGAUUGAUUCUCUUAUUUUUAUUGUUGCUCACUUUAAUUUCUUUCUCAAGGGUGUGUGUGUGUUUUUUUUUUUUUUUUUUAUGGGUUUGAAUGAGACAAAAAAAAUAUUAUUAAAAAAUAUAUAUAGCACCAAACUCAUUCUCAUGCCAUUCUCUCUCUAAUAAUAUAUUCCUUCUUUGCACAUCUCUCGUUUGUUUUCUUCGUAUCACGGAUUAAUUUUUUAUUUUAUAUUCUUCUGUCUAAUAUAUAUCUUCUCUUCCACACACAUGCACAUGCACAUUUCUCAUUUUAUUUCUUCGUUUCCCGGUCACCAUCACUGUUGCGCUGCACCAUUUAUUAUCAUCGCCACCAAAUACUGAUCCUUUACCCAACAAAUAAAAAAUCUAAUGCAAUUUUGUAACAUAUAUUUACAGAGAUCAAAUUAGCAUUACAAAAAAGUCUCAUUGCUUUUAUUUUCAUCGUUAAAAAGAAAAACUGUUAAUUUUAUCACCUAAAAGGUGCGUGAGAUAACACACUUUCUUUUGACUAUUCCACAUCUCAUCAAAGUAGCAACCCAUCUCACUUCACUACUCUCCAGUCUCCACUCAGUCUCUUCACUCCAAAUGCAAAAUAAAAAAAUUUAACAUCAAAAUUCAUUUAUUGAUUAUGGUUAAAAAAACUAAAAUUAUGAGAUUUUGUUGGGUACAAAUUGUGAUUUCUUAAUCUGUGUGUGACAAAAAAAAACUAACAAUUAGGGUAUGUGUUCACACUAGGUAGUAGUGAGAUAACACAAUCCUUUCCUUUCCUUUUACUUCUUGAUUUGGACCAUGAUGAUGAUGAUGACAUCGUAAUGAAAUAAGAUCAUCAAGGCCUGUAAAAAUUAACAUAUUCUCAAACAAGAUUUAGAUCUCUCCAAAGACAAAGUUACUAAAUCCCACAUGUGAACUAACCUAAUAUUCGAGGCGGUCGUUUUUAAAAGAACAUGACCAGGAUGAUGAUAUGUAGUAUAAUCAUUUUAAGAGAACAAGAAAUAGAAGAGAGAGAGAGAGAUGAGAACUAGACUGACAAACACAAUAAUUAAGUAGUAAACUGAAAUUCAGACACAAGAAAUUCAUCAAUAUAGAGAAUUAAGAGCAACCAUCUUCUUCAAAAGAAAUAUUACAUAAAGAAAAUAAAACAAGGAAUACAAAAAGAAACAAGCCUACUACUGCUUACAAAGUCCAAAAGGGAAACUUUAGAACAUUGAUCAAUGAUCAUAGAUUCGAGUAGUUUUCUUUCAUUUGCUUGAAAAUUAAAACACAGACCUAAAUAUAAAUAUAAUGGUUCAAGUUGAAGAUGGCGAGUCAUUGGAUCUGAAGGGUCUCGGCCUUACCGUCGGGGACCGAAAACAUCUUGCAUGGUGGGGAACUUUGUUCCUUUGGUGUUGUUAUUGGCAUCACCGGUUCUCUCUCUAGGAGGUGGCCUAAUACCGAAAAUCUUAUCCAUUGUGGGGAAUUUGGUGUUGUCUGUUCUUCGGGAAGAAGAACCUGCACCACCAGAGGCACCGGUGUUAAUGUUGUUGUUGUUUGAAUCAGACAUUGUUGAAACAAGAGAUAUAUGUGGUGAAGAAGAAUAGAGAGAGAGAGAGAGAGAGAGAGAGAGAGAGAGAGAGAGAGAGAGAGAGAGGCAGACAUGAGCAAUGAGAGUAUACUAGUAAUUGCUUUGAUUUAUAGAACAAAACAAGUCGGUCGGUUGAAAUAUUUUGAUCUACUGAUUUAAUGUGACACUUUUAUGCAAUUUUGCUUUAAGAUGUUUGGUUUGGCGUUUUUCUCUUAGAGCAACUACAUCCAUGCCACCCAUAUAAGUAUUAUAAAUGAGACUCACAUAAUAUAUUAUAUUAUUUUAUAUAUUCAAAUUAUUUGAACCACUUAACUACAUUUUAUAAAUAUCCAUAUCACUCAUCUAAAAUUCUAAAAUAAGUUCUAUUAAACAUUACAAUAUCUCUAACAUUUAUAUUUUAAUAUUUUUUUUUAUCAAAGAAAUCAGAUAAACCACAGUUGCAAUGCAGUGCUACGUUGCCAAGUGAAAAGCUGAAAUUAUGUUAUUGGAAAAUGUGAUGGCACGAUACACAGCAGAUAGACAUUUCGCUCCUGACUUUUGUGAAAAUAAAUCCAGCUUUAGGAAAAAUAUUCCAAUAUCCAAUACCCCACCUAGUUAGGGUAGCAUUUUGGUGACAUUGUGGUUGGUGACAUUGGCCAACCACAACGUCACAUGUGGCUUUUUUUUUUUUUUUUACAAGAUAUUUUUGUUGUUUUACACACUUGUAACAUUGUGGUUGGUAAUGUCACCAAUGUCACCAAUGUCACCAACCACAAUGUCACCCAAGUAUUAUCCACCUAGCUAGCGCACAUGAAAAUCUCAAAUAGAAAUCAAAACUUCACAAAACUACCUUUUCUAUAUAUAUAUAUAUAUAUAUAUAUAUAUAUAUAUAUAUAUAGGCAAAUUCUACGGUACAUCCAACAUAUUUGAGUGUAUCGGUACAUCAACUCUUUAAUUUUAUAAGUAAAUGAGUUGUUUUUUGAAGAAAAAUAUUAUUUUUUAUCAUUUAUAAUUAUAAUGAUUAAAUUUUAUUCAUCAAAAGUGUAAACGAAAUAUAUUUUUUUUUAAUUUUUAUCGCUCAUAAUAGAGAACUUUAAUUAUUUUAUACGAUAAUAUGUAAAAAAAAUUAUUAUGAUUCUUAUAAACAAUGAAUUAUGUGUUUUUCUUCAGAAAUCAUAUUUUUUUAAAUAUAAAUGCCGACAAAUAACUAUUUAUUUCAUAAAAUUGAUCGUUAGUUUAUAGAUUUAUGAUGCAAGAGUACUGGUGCACCUCAAUUUACGAGUGUACUGUAGAAGUUAUAUAUAUAUAUAUAUAUAUAUAUAUAUAUAUAUAUAUAUAUAUAUAUAAGUAUAAGUAUGAUUUUUUUAGGUAUUUAGACCUUUUUUGAAGAAAAGACAUCUAUAAUUUUACUUUUUUUUAACCAAAAAAGAGGUGCAGCAAAGGACUGCUACCUCAAAAUUUUUAAAAAUAAUCAUACGCAUUAUGCAACGCCAAAAAAAGUUAUACGCAGUAGCGUAACAAAAAAUCAGACACACAUAAAGUAUUACUCUAAACGCUAAUGUGUGUGUGUGUGUGUGUGUAUUUGUGAGGUUGUAGAAAGAAAAUAAAAAUAUUUGGUAUCAUUAAAUGACAGCAUGAAUAAAAAUAUUUGUGAGGUUGUGAUGAUUAAACGAUAUUGAAAUUAAAUAUAUAAAUGAUAAAAAGAUAAUAAAAUUCCUUUGAAAAAAAGGUAAUAAAAUUAAAUGGGACCUCCUUAAAAAAAAUUAAAUGCAACGGUCCAAAAAAUAUUAAAUGGAAGAAAAAAAUGUAUUGAAAUAUAAUAUUAAAAAAUAAAAGAAAAGCUUCCCAACGUGAAUUGAAGAGAGAUACUUGGGAAAUAAAUUGUCGAGAAGUAGAUUUUUGAAGCAGCAUUCAACAACUUUUGGUCAAAGUUCAUUCCAUUCAAUUUUAUGUAUUAAAAAAAGUACAUUUUUUAGUAAGUACUUAAUUGAUAUUGUAUUUGGCCUAACUUCUCCUUAAAAAUGUAGAGAAGUUGAAUAAAAAACCAGGUCAAACAGUAUCUUAUUCGUCCACAACGGCAGUGUAGAAGCAACUGAAUUUGGGAGAAAAAAAUUGGAAAAUAGUUAAAAAUAAAAAAAUUAUAAAAUAGUUAAAAGUUUUUAAAAAUAUAAAAAUUGGAAAGUAGUUAAAAAAAAUUGGUGGGGUAGCACUCAACCAAGCAACACUAAAAAAAUUAUGUGCAUUAGCGUAAAAAAAAAACAGACAGACGAACAUAAAAUAUUACUCUAAACGUUAACAUGUGUGUGUGUAUUCGCGAGGUUGAAGAAAGGAAAUAAAAAUAUUUGGAAUCAUUAAAUGACAGCGUGAAUAAAAAUAUUUGUGAGGUUGUGAUGAUUAAACGAUAUUGAAAUUAAAUAUAUAAGUGAUAAAAAGAUAAUAAAAUUUAUUUGAAAAAAAGAUAAAAUUAAAUGGAACCUCCUUAAAAAAUUAAAUGGAACGGUUGAAAAAAAUAAAGUUAAAUGGAAGAAAAAAACAUAUUGAAAUAUAAUAUUAAAAAAUAAAGAAAAGGUUUCCGGCGUGAGUUGAAAAGAGAUGUUUGUGAAAUAAAUUGUCGAAAAGUAGUUUUUUAAAGUAACAUUCAACAGUUUCUAGUCAAACCUUAUUCCAUUCAAUUUUAUGCGUUCAAAAAAAGUACUUUUUUUAGUAAGUACUUAAUUGAUAUUGUGUUUGGCCUAACUUCUCCUUAAAAAUGUAGAGAAGUUUGAAAAAAGUCGGAUCAAACGAUACCUUAAUCUCCCACAACGUCAAUGUAGAAGCAACUGAAUUUGGGAGAAAAAAUUGAAAAAUAGUUAAAAAUAUAAAAAUUGGAAAAUAAUUAAAAGUUAUUAAAAAUAUAAAAAUUAGAAAAUAAUUAAAAAAAAUUGGUUAGGGGCAAAAAUGAAAAUUCAUAGACAAUUGUAAAAAAAACUCAACCAAUUAGUAGAUUACCAAAUUGCCCCUUAUAGGGGUAAAAUGGUAAAUUCAAGGCACAUUUCUUUUUAUAUUAGUAUGGUAUAGUAUUAGUAUAUAGAUUUUAUACACCAAAACUUCACAAAAUCAAACCUUUCAAUUCAAUUUCGGUGUUUAACUCUGGUCUGCACACAUAGAAAUCAAUGGGAUACUUUUAUAUGGCAUUCUUGUAAGUAAAUUUAUUUAUAUACUGUUAUAGAUUUAUUGAAUUAAACCUAUAUUGGGAGUGUGUUGUUGCAGGUUAGCUUAGCUUUUAAUAUCUAUUCUAAAAUUUCUAAACAAAAUGCUUAAACUUAUUAAAGCUCCUUUCACUUAUAAGAAGAAAAAAACACAAACAAGUAGUAUUCGUAAGGCUUGAAAACCAUGGUGCAAUUGAACAUAAACAAGAACGUCUAUUCCUUUCCACACUCAAUCCUACUCUUAUCUCUUCCAUUUGCAUCAUUUUCAAUUCACCACAAUAUGCAUAUGCUUUCCAAAAAUAAAAUGGAACCCGUGUUGUUAAUCAAUAAAAUUUGGCCACACCAUGGUGCAAUUGAACAAAGAUUAUAGUUGCCUUUAUGCUUUUAUUGUUUUUAUUUUGAUUGGGUUAAAUAGCCAAGGUAGAAUACAGGUUUAAUUUUGACCAGCAACUUCAAUUAAAUUUCCAUUACAACCGUGAAAAGAGAAAAUGCAAUCAAUUUGAAUGAAUGUUUGGCGAUUAUACGUCUGGGCUUUAGACUAUAAUUUUUUUUAUAAGCGGCUUCGAUUUGGAACGGUUUCGUCUCAUCACCCUCAAUUUGAUUAUAUUAAUGUGUUAUUGUUUGCCAAUGGAUACUUCUUUUAUUGAUUUGAUGAAAAAUAAUAGUUCUCACUUGGUCUCACCUAGAAAAACAAAACCACACACUAGAUCUGCAACUUCUGAAACCGGAGAGGAUGUGCGUGAAAAUAAAAAUGGAAGUUGGAGAGGAUAGAGAUAUGGACAUAAUUGUGUGUGGAAAGGAAUAAAUGUUCUUGUUUUUAUUUUCAAAUAAUCUCGGCCAUUGAUUCAAUCUAAUGAUGAGUUUUUGGUGCUUCACCAGUGAGGGACUUAAUUGAACCUAUUACAUAGUGGUAUUGUUGAUGGCAAAAUCACUUAGUCCGCUGUUGCUUGCUGAGCAAGUAACUAUGCUUCGGGUUUCUUUCUCUAUUGUUUGUCCAUGAUAGCUUCUCAAGAAGAUUAUGAAAAUAGUGCAAUAUCUUCUUAUGGUUUGGGUGCUUCUACAAGCUCUUCUUCUACUGGUUUCUCUCAAGAGCAACUAAUAGAAUCAAUGUUUUAAAACCCGGACAGGUGAUCGAUCCGAUUAAGGCACUGGGUUACUGGUCGAAUCAAUGGGUCACUGGUCGGACCGCAUGACUAUUGACCCGGUUUAUAUAAAAAUAUUUAUGACUAAGCUCUUCUUCUACUGAUUUCUCUCACUUCACUACUCUCCGGUCUCCACUGAUCAGCCUCUUCACUCCAAUUGCAAAAUAAAAAAAAAAAAAAUUAACAGCAAAAUUCAUUUAUUGAUUAUGGUUAAAAAACUAAAACUAUGAGAUUUUUUUGGGUACAAAUUGUGAUUUCUUAAUCUGUGUGGAAAAAAAAACUAACACUAAUUAGGGUAUGUGUUCACAAUAGGUAGUAGUGAGAUAACACAAUCCUUUCCUUUCCUUUGACUACGCCAAUAUACCUUUGUCUUACUAUUUACGAACCAACAACCAGGUAACCGUCACUACUCUUUGCUCAUCCUCUUCCGAUUGAUUAACUUUAUUAUUAUUAUUUGUUGCGAAUCAUAAUAAUACUAUUAUUUUAAAAAUUAGAAUCUCAAUAGUAAAAAACUUUUUAAAAUUUAAAUAAAUCGGUGACAUAAAAUUUUAAUCAUAUGAAAAUUAGAGAAAAUUACUCCCCCUCCUUUGAGAGAUGGGGAUAUUACACUCCCCUACUCUCAUAGUUUGAAACAAACACUCCUAUCCCUUAAUAUUUUUACAAAAGAGUAGAUUUUCAUCCUUUUGUUAACUUAGUUUCCGAUAACUUUUAGACAGUUUCCGUUACUUACCAUUAACGUACAAUUUUCAAAGCCGCGUCCAUUAAAAAUUAACAUAUAUUUUCCUAUUGCUAUUCUCAAAUGAUUUAUAUCUCUUCUAAGGAAAAGCUACCAACCAAAUCCCAGCGUCCAUUAAAGAAUUAUUAUAUUUAGAAUCAUUGUAAAGAGAACAAGAAAUAAAAGAGUGAGAGUGAGAGGAGAGAGAGAUGGGAACUAGACUGACAAACACAAUAAUUAAGUUGUAAUUGAAAUUCAGACACAAGAAAUUUAUCAAUAUAGAGAAUUAAGAGCAACAAAUAAAUUAAGAAACCAUCGUCUUCAAAAAAAAAAAAUUACAUAAAGAAAAUAAAACAAGGAAUACAAAAAGAAACAAGCCUACUACUGCCUACAAAGUCCAAAAGAGAAACUUGAGAACCUUGAUCAAUGAUCAUAGAUUGGAGUAGUUUUAUUUCAUUUGCUUGAAAAUUAAAACACAGACCUAGAUAUAAAUAUAACGGUGCAAGUUGAAGAUGGCGAGAGUCCUUGGAUCUUGGUCUUGGCCUUAUCGCCGGUGACCGAAAACAUCUUGCAUGGUAGGGAACUUUUUUUUGUUCGUGUUGUUAUUGGCAUCACCGGUUCUCUCUCUAGGAGGUGGCCUAAUACCGAAAAUAAACUUUGAUUGUCAACCUUACACUCAGACAGAUCAACCUUGCACCCAAACAAAUGGUGCAAAUUUGCAAAGUGGUGCUAUGUUCGUUGACGUUUCAUACAAUGCCUAAAAUCCUAGAGUAACAUUUUUGUAUAAAAGGGCAACGGUGGAAAUACAUUGUAGAAGAAAGGAGAAUGUUAGAUGAUGGAAUGAUUAUUUGUGAGGGAUUGAUGGAUAUUUAUUGGGGGGUUUGUAAAGAAUGAGUGCAUAGAGUGUAAUGAUUCAUAAAUGAGAGUCAAAAAACGUUAGUCAAUGAAACUGAUAAAACACAAAGAACAACUUGUUCAAUGAGAUACUUUUGCUGAGUAAGUAACCGUCCAAACACUGAAUUGGUUUGAAUUAUAUAAGUCGAACACAUCUCAUAAAUGUUUGGAUUAACUUCUUAAGCAUAUAACUCAACGGAAAAUGUGCCACUCUCUCACGGAUUCCAAAACCAAUAGUUUAACUCGUCCCCUGAAGUCACCCCUUCAGUUCUAUGUUUUAGAAUUUGUAGUAGCUCCAUCUCCUAUAUAUCAUUUAUUGAUUAUGGAUAAAAAUAAUAUGGGUCUUGCUAACCAUUGCCCUCAAGGCAAUACUUAAGGAAGCCAAAAGUAGCAUGUUUGCAUUGGUUUCAACAACAUUUUAACUUUUAAAAAGUUAAAUUCAUCACUUUUCACCAUUUUCCAACUAACACUUAUAUAGGAUUAUAAAAUACAAGAUUGUGUUUCCGAACAUAAUUUUGGUUUAUAUAAUUUGAACAAAAUUGUGUUUUUUCUUGCUUUUUAAUAUGUUUCACCAUUACCCUUCUAUUACUCAUUUGUUAAAAAAACACAGUUUAAAUUACGAUUAUUUAUUUUACUAUUUUUCAAAUUACAAUUUUAUCCCUUUCUUAUUUCUCUAAUAACUCUUUUAAUUAGGGGUGAGAAUAGACUAAGCUGAGCUAGAUUUUGCAAGGCAUAUAAACCUGACAUGUCAAAUUUCUCUAAUAGUCUCGUUUUCUUUUUCUUUUCACAAGACUUCUUUUUUGUUUUGUUUUAAUCUUCCAAUUUUCAUGAAAAAGUCCUAAUAAUCUGAAAUUCUAUCGAAAAUCAUCCUAAGCAUGUUUCAAACUUGAAUUUUCAAUAACGAUUCAUCAUUAGACAAACUCAUUGGUAACUACACACUCACUUUUGGUUUCAAAUGCCACAAUCCAUGACUUGAUAGCCAAAUCCCCAGUCAUCAAUGAAUCAAUAAGAAAGUCAAAUAAUCUUCACCAAAUUAAAAAGCUGACGUAAUAAAGGCAAGCUGCUGUCAAUUUCCAACUCAAAUUCUUUUUCUUAUGGUACAAACUGCCAAAUUAAUUCUAUGCUCAUCCAAAUAAACCCCAUUAAAAUAAAAUAAUUCUCAUAAUGACGUGAUAUGUUGUCACCAUUGGAAAAUAUAAAAGUGGACCUUCAUGACUUAAUCCUGCUCGAGUUAAACGUAAUCAAGGUGCCGCUAGGUGGGACGAUUGACAUUGACUGUUAUCCAAGAAAAAGCUUUUAAUUUGUCGACAACAAAAAAAGCCAUCUAACAUUAUGGUUUUCAAUCCUUUUGGUUUUGGAAUUUGAUUAGCAUGACGACAUCUGUUUUGUUUAUAAGACAAAUUCCAAAUUUUGUAGAAGUUAGUGCUAACAUGUAUGCGGUUAGAGUUCUGAAUAUAAAUGCUUCUUAAAAAAAAUCUCUUAACUUCAAAAAAAUCUCUUGAUUAAAAAACAACCUCUUAAUUUAAAAAAUCUCAGGGUGCGCACACCCUCACCUAUGAAUGAGUACGUUCCUGUUUGUGGCCAUACAUAUAAUCAUUUGGUGAUCCAAAUUCCAUAUAUAUAUUUUUUAAUUAUAAAAAAUUGUUUAAAAUUUCUGUAUAGUUUUUGGACAUUAUAAAAUAUAAUAUUUUACCAUCCAAAGUUGGAAUUUGAAAGAUAAAUAUCAUCAAUAAUAUAUAAAGGGAUAAUGAUAAUACUAAUAAUCCCUUAAGAUGGACACUUUCCUUAUUCAAGGCAGAAGAAGUGAGGUUGGAUUUUUCUUCUAUAUAAAAUUAAAAAGGGAACUUCUACGGUACACCUCAUAAAUUGAGGUGUACCGGUACUCCUGCUUCAAAUAUUUUACAAUUUAAUGAUUAUUUUAUGAAUUAAAGAGUUAUUUAUCAAUAUUUAUAUUUUAUAAGACAUCAUUUUAUAAGAAUAAACAUCAUUUCAUUGUUUAUAAGAAUCAUAUUAAAUUUUUAACAUUUUCUCAUAAAAAAUAAUAAAUAUUCUUUGUUCUAUGUAACAAAAAUUCAAAAAAUGUAAAUUUUAUUUCGUCGACACUUUCGGUAACUAAGAUCUAAUUAUUGUAAUUAUUAAUGAUAGAAAACAAUUAUUUUUCUUCAAAAAAACAACUCGUUUCAAUAUGAAUUUGAUAAUUUGGUGUACCAGUACACUCAAAUUUUUGAGUGUACCAUAGAAUUUGCCAAUUAAAAAACAACAAAUUUCGACAUACCUUCCUAAAGUCUAAGAACGAAUUGCCAUGAGCCCAUGACGUAUCGGUUGACAGCGCAGUUAAGUUGAAAAAUAGAGGAAAGAUAUAAACAAAAAAUAUAAAGUGAAAACGACUUGCGUUCUUGCCACAUCAUAAACGAGGUGAGGAAUAUUUGAAGUUUUGGUAAACAAUUCAUAUGAAAGUGAAAAUAAAAUUUAGUAUGUGUAAAUUUUAGAUGCAAGUGCAAAUAAAAUUUUAGAUGCAAACACAAAAUCAAGCAUUGAACAAGUAAAAGCCACCAUUAAUUCAUGUGAAUUUCAAUAAAUAUAAAGAAAAGUUUGAUUUAAUUGACUGUGGCAUUGUGUUUGAUUAGAAGAAGAAGUUAUUAACACCGCCACUUAUAACACACACUAUAUACCCUUUAAUUGUUCAAAAAUUAGUAGUAAAAGUCUCAUCAACGUCACAUCCUUUAAUUGUUCAAAAAAAUCCACAGCCUUGAAUGGAUUAGUCUAAAAUUAGUAGUACUUUGCCAACAUGACAAACUCUUGACAAAAAGUCCACAUGACAUACCCUUGUCAAGUUGUGCUCGUCGGUAUAUUUUUAUUAAUAUUAUUAUUUGAACGUAACAUACCCUUGUCAAGUUGUCCCCCUAAAAGAAUCCACAUAAUAGAAAUCAUUUAUACUCCCUCCUUAACCAUUUUCCCACUCAAUACUUACUUAUAUAUGGUACUUUGAUCUGGAUUAAUGAAUUACGAAAGAGACUAAUUAAAUAAAUGUAAAACUUAUACUACUAUAAUGUAAAACAAAAAAGUAAAAUAAAUUAACCAUGUUUGGUUCUAUAAAUAAAGCCCCUCUCCAUUGCUCUCAUUGCACAUUUCCUCACUAUUUCAUUAACCCUCUAAACUUCUUCUUUUCUUCCCUUAAAAAAAAAUCUUCUUUUCUAUACUUAUUCACCUAAAAACCUUUUGUUUUAGCAAUGUCUGGUUCAAACAAGAACACCAAAGGAAAUAAGUUCCCCGGCAUGCAAGACGUUUUCGGUAAUAGGCCACCCCGUAGAGAGAGCACUGGUGAUGCCAAUAACAAAACCAAAGGUACUAAGUUCCCAAGACUUCAGGAUAUUAUGUUCACUACAAGGCCUGGGACACGUGGAACUUGAUGAGCACACCACACAAUUUUCCACCUUCACUGUUCUUAAUUUUCAUGUAUGAUCAAGGUUUUGAACUUUGAAGUGUCCCCUUUUCUUUUUGUAUUAAUUCCAUAGUUUUAUGUUAGUUUCGCUUCUUUGUUUUAGCCUUUGUUUAUGUUAAGGGGCACCUGUGUUUUUGUGAACUUUUAUGUUUCCUUAUGUUAAGGGACUUUUUCUAAGUUGUAUUUUCUUUCUCUAGGUUCUUGUGUCUUUAUGUGGGUUUGGUUAUUUAUUGUUCUUCUUUGAAGAGAUAGAAUAUUUUGUGUAUGAGUUUUAAUUAGCACUUAUUGUCCAUUCCCAUCUAUCUCUUUUCACAAUCACUCUUUUCUUCUUUUUCUAUUACCAUGGUAUAUGUAAUAUAUAACUUUCAAUCAUAUAUUUUUUUUUAUAAGAAAAUAAGCACCUUCAAUUUUAGCUUGAUUCACAGCUGGGAUGGAAGGAAUGGGAAGUUGGAAGGAGAGAGGAGAGGGGUUGAACCCAAAAAAAAAAAAAAAAAAAAAAGAGAAGGGAUGGGAUGGAGAAAAUGUUUGUUUGAAAAGAAGAGAGAGAGAAAGAAAAGGAAGAAAAAGGAAUCUUUGUUUACUAGCUAGGGUUUAUGAUCUGAGAUUUGAAGGAAUGACCUUGUUGUUAGGGUUUUAAUUUAGUCAAAAAUAUUGUUUGAAAGUAAAAGAAGAGAAGGGACAGAAAGAUUAGGUACUUUGUUGUCUUGUGAUGAGUGGGUCAUGUUUCACCAGUUCAAAUUCCAAUGACUCAUAUUAGAAUUUCUCCUAUUGAAAUUUGUUUCUUUCAACUAAUUAACGAAAUCAUAAUGGCGUUAAGUAACAAUUUUUUUAUAGGAAAUGACAUUAAAUAAAAUGAUUACCAGCAGUAGUAUAAUUUAUUUAUUUUUGAAAGAAGUAGUAGUAUAUGUUUUUUUGGAGAGAAGUAGUAUAAUUUUUUUUUUUUUAAAGAUGUGGUAAAAAAAGGACCAGUAAUUAUGUUUCAAACAAUGAAUUUCUUUUUUACCGAUGAAAAUAACCAUAACGAUACUUUUUUAUUUUUAUAAUAUGCUAAUUUGAUUUUUGUAAAUCUAUGUUACAAAAUUGCUUUAUGAUUUUCUAUUUGAUGAGUCGGUCAUAAUGGUGUAGUGCAGCAGCACAUGGUGAAAAGGGUAGACUGGGAAAAACGAAGGAAGAUAGUGUGCAUGUUUGAAAGAAAAAGAUAGAUAUAAGAGAGAGGACUAGGAAACAACCGAAUGAAAAUGACUUAGGUUCUUUUUUUUCAACUAUACAUCCACCCCACCCAUGUUUUAGGAUUUAAUAGCAAUCAAAUAGAUUCUAUAAUAUAAUUCGUUAGAAAUGAUGUCAUAAUAAGUUCCAAAGAAAAAAAGUUCUUUAGAAAUAUAAUUAGGCCAAAGAAUGAAUAAUUAAAGUUUUUUUUACAAAAAUGAAUAAUUAAAGUUGAAAAAGGAAGAAGUGAAUCUUGUCUAACCUUUCAGAGGGAAGAAUGCUAACAUGAUGUCAAGAAACGUACCACCAUCCACCACCAUGAUGUUGUUAUAGGCACGACACACCGAUGGGAAGGGUGUGUAAAUUCCAAACCCAUUUGUCAUCCUUAUCAUCCUGCAAAACAAAAGAAUUUAACAACUCGACACACUCUCAAACCAACUACUCCUCCCAAGCAAACAACCUCCUAUGCCACUGCCACGCCUCUGCAUCCAACCCCAGCCUAAAUAGUACAUAUCAGCCACAUUUACCAUUUUACAAAGCGAUGAAUCAUAAAAUCAACUAAAUUUACCACUCAAGGGAACUCCACCCAACCAAGGAUCCCGCCAAAAGAGAGUACUUGACCCAUUAUCCUCUACUCUUGAUAUUAUCAUGUAACCAUCCCUUAUCCGUAAUACUUACACCCUCUUUAAUCAAGUUAAAAUUUCUCCACCACAAUGAACCAGGUUCAUCAAUAUAAUACUAGCUAGGGUACACAAUUUAAAAAUGAAAUCAAGAAAAUUGAGUGCACUAACUACUAUUUUUAAUAGAGUUUUUCUAUCAUGUGCAAAUUUGUACAUGUUAAGAAGUUUAAAAUAGAAAUUUGGUAUUAAAACUUGCACAAUUAAUAUCAAGGAUAAAACUUUUGAAUAAAUAAUUGUUGUUUUCCAAGAAAAAAUUAAUAUUAUUAGUUGUUUUAACAUGUGCAAUGAUGCACAUGUUAGACAAACCCAUUGAAAAAUUACUUGUUCAUAUAAAAUAAUGAUUUUUUUUUUUUUUUACAUAAAAAUUUAAAGCAGAGCUUGUUAUUACGAUAGACAUGACAUACUAAACACACGGAUACUUUCCCUAAAAAAAACACACACACACGAAUACUUGUAUGUGAUUGUUUUAAGGUUGAAUUCACCAAAAAUCCUUAUAUGACGAAAAAUACUUGUAUAUAGUAAAUAUCAUCACUCGUAAAUCAAAAAUAAAAAAGGAAAUGUUAACAUUUACCUUAAGGCAUAUGUUAAGGAAUUCAAAGUAGAAAUUAUGUUUAGAAAAUCGUGCCAAUUUAUUGUUAGAUGUUGAAAAUUAAUAUUUUGUAAUAAAUAUUUACUAUUCAUGGAAUCCUUAACAUUAUGUCAUAAGGGCACAAGUUAACAUGACUCAAAAAAAAAAAAAAACUCAUUUCAACUCUUUUGAGCUGACUUUUUCUCUUUCCAUAAUUUUCUUAACUUUCAAUGCAAAUAACAAUAUAACGAAUAGAUGAGAGUAAAUUCAAAUAUUAAAACAAAAUCUAACAAACACAAUAUUCAUUUUGUUACCACACAAAAUAUAUCGUGUAACAAACACGAUAUGAAUAUACCUUUAAUUUUUUUUCUUUAUCCUUGAAAAAAAAGUGUAACAAACUAGACCAAAUAUAUAUCACUAUAAAUAUAAUCAAUAAGUAAAUGAUCGUUAUUUUAUAUAAAUAUAAUCAAUAAGAAAAUUAUAAUGAUUUUAUUUUUAUUUUAUAUACAAACAAAUCGAAAUAUGUCGAGUUGAUAAAUAAUUUCGUCAUAUGCUUUGAUAAUAAUUUAUAGAUAAAUUGAUGUAUGAAUAGUUUUGAUUAAUAUUUAAAAUUUAAAAUAUUGUAAUCAAAAUUAUACAAACAAAUAAAAUAUACGUUAACGCAGUAAAAAGAGCGAACAGACCCUUCUUUAUACUAGUAAAGAAUAAAGAGAAAAAAAGGGGUAAAAUGAAGUAAUAAGUCGUUUAAAAAUAUUACAAGUAAAAGAAAAAACAAAUAAUAUCGACAAUUCAAUUAUGAGAUGAGUAUUAGUUGGGACAUGGGGGCGCAGGCACACAUAGAUUUUCUUCCCAAUAUACCGACACGCUAACUCCGAGAAUUACUAUAUUCCCAAUUCCAAUUUCAUCUCCAGUUGUACACGUGCAGUCGUGCACUUUGAUUGUUUUUGUUUUACAUUAGGUGAGCCUCCAUUGGCCAUACAUUUGACUGACGUACUUAAAGUUUGAGAUUUAUGAAACACAUGAUAUUAAUUCUUACACAUAAAAGUCUUAAAUGUACAUUAACAAAAAUGAAAUAGGUUUGGUUUGAAUUUUAUUUGGUCAUCAGAUUGCAUCCUUAAAAUAUCAUCUGACUCAUGUUUUGUGUCGAUGAAGCCAUUUUUUUUUCUCUUACAAAAAAUGUGAGUAUGGAUCAAUCAAGUUGAAUUGGUCACUCCUUAAAAAAAUCAAUGUGUCGAUGAACCCGGCACUACCACGACCAAUUGGACGCACGUGAAUCCCCCUUCUUCUUCUUCCCCAAGAUAAAUUAAUUAAUUUAAUUUGAUCUUAUUCCAAUUUUAACCAGCAUCCAUUUGUGCUUGUUUUGUCGUUUUAUUCAUCAUCUCUUCAUAAAGUCAUGCUGCUAUAAUUUUCCACGGGGAAAACACCAUUAAUUUGACUGCGAAUAAUCAAAUGGACUAUAGUCGGUGUUGAAUUCUUCUUGGUAAUGUCUUUGCUGUUCUUUAUGACUUAAUUGCAUCCUUAAUUUGCUUAUAUUUUCCCUCAAAAGCAACAUAUUCUUCAAAGUAGACAGAAAUAUAUUGUGAUAUACUAGUGAUUACGUUAUUUUAUAGUAGUCCAUAAAUGUGUAACAAAGUGGUAAUAGGAUUGGGACGCCGAAGAAGAUAAAGACUUUAAUAACUCUUUCUGACAUUUUCUCCUCCCCUCUAUCAAUAUAAUUAACAAAGUAGUUUUUUUAAGAGAAUAAUAUAACCUAAAAAAUGUUAAAUACAUUUUGAAUCAUAAAAAACUUCAAUAAAUGUAAAAAAAAAAAAAAAAAAAAAAAAAAAAAGUCAAUUGUUUCACGUAUGAUAAAAAUUAAAGUUGAUAGGUGUGCUAAUUAAUAUGUCGUAAAAUCUUGGCAGGCCAUAUGACUCAAACAGUGCUUGCUUGCAUUUUGAUUGGUUUUUCUUUACAUAAUUAAUCGGACUAUACAUCAUCAUGAUAUAAAAUUUGCUUUCAUAUAACGACAUAAAUGAUGUCAAAAGUUUUUGUCAAGGAAACUGUGCUUGCCUUCUCUUUUUAGGAGUUUUUCGUGUUCAAGUUUCUUAGACACCAAAUUUGACGUAUCGAUUUCAAGUUCUAUAUAUUGUUUUUUCUCUAUUUUUAUAGACACAUCGGAAUUAUACUCCAUCUACCGUUGAAUAGUGGAUACAUUUCUAAAGUGAAUAAAAUGUAAAAUGUAAAAAUUAAGAAUUGUUAUUAUAACAAACUCAUGAUUUGUUAUUUACACGCUUAAGCCCUCUUUUUCUUCUUCUUCACAAAACUAAAUUGUCGUUAUCGUUACCUUCUCGUCACGUCACGUCAGUGAUGCACUGCUAAAUUUUAAAUGGGGCCGGAACCCCUUUUGACCACAAAUAAAAUAACAAAAUAUAUACACAAUAGUCAUACUAGUUCACACUGCUUACAAUAAUCAUAUGACAUUCCAUAAUAUACAAAUCAAAGGAUUAAAAUUGGGCGGUGUUGAAUUCUGCGCCUCAUGCAUGCAUCAAUUGACUUUGUGUUUAUUAGUUUUGUUAUCUUUCUUCUUAAGUAUCCUUCUUCUAUAAAGGGACAGAAAAGUACUAGAAAUUCUUUCCAGUUUCAUAUGUAAAAAUAAAAUAAAUUAUUUCUAAGUAGUUAAUCUAGCUUGUCGAAAAAUAAGUAGUUAAUUUUACUUAAUAUUUAUAAUAUACUAAAAAUUAUUUCACCCGCCACAUUAUAAAUGCCAUUUUUACAAAUUUGUCUAGCUUAAAUAUAUAAUUCAUUAGUUUAGAAUACUAAACCAAUAUUUAAACAAUAAAGUAUCAUUAUUUGUUGUAUUUCAAUUCAUCUAACUAAUCUUAUUUUAAAAAAAAUCAUCUAACUCCAAGUAAUAUUUCAAAUAAUAUUUAAACAAUAAAUGCACUUUUUUCAAACUUAUUUUAACAAUAAAUUUGAUUUUUUUCUUUCAAAGUAAAAGUUGUCUUUUUUUAGCAUUGUUAGCAUUUUCCUUUUUUUAAAUAACUACACCUAAAGAACCCAACCAACCAACCAAUAAACAAAAAGAAAUAUCCGACUUAACCUAACACAUGACAUCAAUCACCUCAAUGCAGACAUGAGUUUGGUUGUGGGUCCCACUUAGAUUUUCUUGCCACUCCACUGACAUGCUAACUAACUCUGACGAUUAUAUUCUUAUAUGGCAAUACACGUGCACUUGGAUUGUCUUGGUGAGCCCACAGAUGUCGUAGGUAGCAGCCAAUUCUCCAACAUUAAUUACUCUACUUUGUCAUUCUUUUGGGAAAGUGUAAUAACAUCACCUUUUUCUCUAAAUAUAUAGGAAGAAUUGGACUUAUCCAGGAAUAUCGGUUUCGAUUUUCAGGAAAAAUAGCACCUGUUCAGUGCGCAUGUCUCUAUUUAUAAGCUAGAUUAAUCGCACAUCUUUAGUUGAUCGGAAAGCGGUGCGAAAGCAAAAAAAAAAAUAAAAAUUGGAUUUAAAAAUGGACAAAAAAAAGGACCUUAAAAAAAGACAGAAAAAAUAAUUAAAACAAAAAAUAAUUAAAAUUCGAAAAUAAUAAAAAGGAAUAAAAUAAUAAGAUAAAAAACAACUUAAAAAAUAAAUAAAAUAAUAUAAAAUAAUAAAAGACUUAAAAUUGUUGCCUUCGAAACCAAAAUGAGAUAUUUUAAAAUACCUCUCUGCCAAAAUUUCGUCUGAAACGAUAAAAAAAUUCCGGUUUAAAAUACGAGUAAAAAAAUGAGAAUUUAGGUCAAAAAAUGGAGUAUGACAGGUCUCAUUUGUAAACUCUAGAAUAAGGUCAACUCCAAAUACGAAAAAGGUUAUUCUCAAGGUCUAGGAAGGAGUGUGUUGGCAUGUCCUUUGUUUGCCCCCACCGCACACUUUGGAACAAAUUGUCAGAAAAGACAUGGCGAGAAAUGGAACGUGGAUGGACCUUAGACUCGAUGCUGAAAUAGCUGGUUUUGAAAUGGGUGACACCAUUCUUGCAGAACUGAUCGAAGAUACAAUAUUAAUGUUAUGUGCUUCAAUUUGAAUUGAAGGACAGCGAGAGCGGCAUUAACUUGUAGAUGACAAAUCAGAGGAACAUCAUGCACCGGAGCACCAUUAACUUGUUGAAAGUUAAUGUUUUUUCUUCAAUUUGAAGGGAGGUAAAAUAAAAAUUAUACUUCAUGCAGGAAGAAUAAUGAGUUGUCUUAAACUUUUUAAGGCAUGAAUGGACUUUGGUACUAUUUUUUUAAUCAUUCAUGAUGGAACAUAUAAUGUGAAUCAGGAUACUCAAUAAGAAAUAACGAAGUCAAAAGAAAAAUGUAGGAAGUUAUAGCCAGUUGCACUUGCUUCUUGCAAAAGUACUAAAGUAGGCUUGUUUUCAAUGAUAACAGACAAUGUAUCAAUUUUAUUUGUUGAUCACAUUAGCUGGUGUGUUAUUUUUUGGUUUGACACCAUAUUUUGUAUAUUUGAUUUUUUGGUUGAAAUAAUGAAAUGUGAACUCAACUUAGCAUAGUAUUCAAGAGAACAAGUAGAAAUAUGAAUAAUAUGUGACACAUUAAAGCAGCUGGAUCACUCUAGGAUGCUUUGAAUAUGUUUAUGUGAAUUAUAAGUUACUGAUUUUGCUUCUUUUUCAUGUACCUACCUUUCUGCAAAGGGAAUGAGAUGUUCAACAUCAAUCGAAUUGAUAUUCAACAUUAGUUUUAGAGAUCUUUAUAUCAAGCAUAAGCUAAUUUUUGUUUAUCAAAAUUACUUUAUUAAAUAAUUUUCUCUCAUCUACUAACAUAAUUAAAAUUACUAUUUUUUUUAUUAGAAAACUAUUUCUCUCAAGUAAUUGCAUGUUGGCUAUAUACUUAUUCCUUAAAAGUGAAUAAGUGAGAAAUUUGAGGUUCGAACUCUGGCUCCGACACAUUGCAAUACAUUAUCUCUUCCAAUUAAACAAUUUCAACUUAUAUACAUUUCUUAUGAUAGUCAAAAUGCGACCCUUUCAUCUUAUACAUCGAAUAUUGAAUAAUUUGAUGACUUAGAAUAGAUAAAUUAUAACAAUUAUUUUAUUAAAGUUACUUUUUAUUAAUUAAAAAAACUCAAAAUCAAUUUUGAUUUUACAAAAAUUAGUUUCCUAUACCAUCUUUUUUACGAAAACUUAGUUUGUGCCAUUUAACUUGCAUCAUUGAAACUACAAUAAAUCAUUUUUGUGUUCGGGGUUCGAACCUCAGACUUUACAUAUAUUAUUAUCUUUAUGCUCACGAGGACGCAAUAAAUCAUUUAUAUAAACUAGUUUAAUAUAAUAAAUAGAAAGUAAAUAUUUAUUACUUAUUCCUACUUUAUUUUAUUUUUCUAAUGAUGCACUCUGUGUGUAUAUGGAAACUAAAAAAAUCGAAACCUCUAAAAACUAUGAUGCUUCUCUCACAUGUUACUAUUUUUUUUCAUUUUCAUUGCUUAAAUAAUAAAGUAUCGUGUUGUGCACUUUGUGUUCCAGUGAAUAAAUUAAAAAUUAAUUUCUAUGAAUUUAAAAAUUGGGACGGUGUCAAACUAUGCUGUUUGCUAAACAUGUGUUGAAGAUAAUAUUGCUUAUUGCUUUAGUUUAUGUUUUGAUGAUGUCUAAGAUAGUUAGGUUUAUUUGAUAAUGUUAUUUUAUGUUGAUUAGCUUUAGCUUAGAAACUUGUUAAAGCACCCUAGCAAACCAUGUCUCAUAGUGUCAUGUAUUUCUUUGAUGUCUUGUGUGUUGUCAUAUAUGGAAAAUCCUUCCGUGAAUUGCUUGAUUCUAUUCAAGAUUCAUUGAUUCAUAUCAAGCAUUCCUUUUGUCCAUUUUUCUUGUGUCACUCCUUUUGAAUCGAGUCAUAUUUUCCUGAUUAGUAUCGCAGUGAAUCUAUUCACAGUUUUCCUGAAUAGUAUCGCAAUGAAUCUAUUCACAGUUUUCCUGAAUAGAUUCACAGUGAAUCGAUUCACAGUUUUCUUGAAUCGAUUCACAAAAAGUCUGAAUCGAUUCAAAUGUUGUCAGCACCUAUUUUUCACUGCUUUGUUGUCUGAAUCGACUCAAAUUUCUAUGAAUUGUAUCAUGAAACUCUUUGACUUUGAUUAAAUCGAUUCAUAGGAGUUUGAAUCGUAUCAAUCUUCAUCUAGGGAGAUUUGAAUCGAUUCAAUUUGUGUCUGAUGCGUGUCAAUCUUCAUUGUUCAUCUGGCUUGUCAUUUAGUUGUCUGAAUCGAUUCACACAGUAAGUGAAUCGAUUCACUCUGUUGUAUUUGGCCGAAUUUUUGCACUUUCCACCCUUUUCUAUAUAUACACACUUCCUCAUAACACCCAAUUCAUUGAAUCAUUUGCAACUAUUCUCUCUAGGUCUCAAAAACUCAUUGUUCAUACAUUCUUCAAGAUUAAACACUUUUCCUAGAAUCACGUUGGUCUUUGAGUGUGUACAUUCUCUAGGGUGCUAGUAGGGAUUGUAAGUUAGUUCUCUCAAGAAGAUUGAUUUGGCUUAAUCAAGACUUCUAAGGAAGUGAAUAAUCUCAUUCCACUUACAAAAGAACUUGGGAGUCUUUCUAACCGUUCGUGAAGUCGUAGGGGGUUCGUUUACCGGACGUAGCAUUGAAGACUCGAGUGAAGAGAUCAAAGGAGUACACAGGUAAUUCAAGGAUCCGAAGAUUCAAGGAGUACCACAUUCAAGGGGUACUUGAAGUUUGGGGAAGUUUGUCUUACAUAGAAGUUGAAGAAUUAGGGCUUUAAUUUGAAGGAACUCUUGUAAACAUUGUAAUCAACAUUUGUCACAUAGUCGAUGGCCUUGGUGAAGGCGUACUUCAUCAAGUAGAGUAGACGUGGCCCUUAGCCAGGACGAAAAAGGAUGAACUACUAUAAACACCGUUGUUCUCUCUCUUGUUAAUAAGAUUUGUUUAUUGAACCUCUCAAUUCUAAAAUAAAAUCUUAUUACUCACAUAUUGUCUUUUCGAUUCAUUGAUUGUGAUAAUUCGAGCGCAAUCAUACAUAAUUAAUAUAUUAUACAUAAUUGAUUUUCUCUUAUUUUCAUGAAGAUAUAAUUAAUAUAUCAUUAAUUUUAAAUUAAAAAAAAAAACAAACAAUUUUAUUGUUAGAUAAAUCAUACAUAAUUGAUUUUCUCUUAUUUUCAUGAAUUCAAAAUGACUCUUGAUAUCAUGCAUUUCAAUUGCAAACAACAACAAUACCAAGUACAUGAAUGAACCGUAACAAGAUGUUGCAAAUAAUACAUAUCUUCAUUAUUUUUCAUGUAUUAUGCAUUUGAGAAGAAUACUUUAUAUGUUGGAAAUACAUAGUGAUUGUAAAUUUUAACUCAUCACAUUUACGUAUCAUGUAUCUAUUAUUUAUCAAAUAAUUAGUUUUUUUAAAUAAUCCCUCUAUUAUGUUAUAGACUAAUUAUAAAUAACAUCAGCUAAUCUUUGAUAUUAGAUGAAAAACAUCAACAACAUUGAUUAUUUCUUUGGUCACUCAUAUGUCUUCAUCUAUUCUUUUGUAUUUUCUUUUUUCAUAUAUGCGUCAAAAAUAUGUCUUCAUCUGUUCUUUUGUAUUUUCUUUUUUCAUAUAUGCGUCAAAAUAAACUUCAUUGUUAUGGGUACCAAAAAAUUUCAGUCUUAAACUAUUAACAUAUAUUACUAUAAAAAAAAUUUAGUUUCCUCUAAAUAAUUAUAUAUUUUCUUCUACACUCCUUAUCACUAAUAAAAUAUUUUUUAUUUUUUAUUUUUGUGUAUUUUGAUUUAUAGUAAAUAUUAUUUUUAUUUUUUAUAGAUUAGAAUGAAACUUUACUUUUUCUAAGGAGUAUAAUAAAAAGCAAAACAAGACACUAUGCUAAUUUGAGCUUCGUUUAUUCACGCAUCACUUUCUUCAAUCACACAUCACUUCCGAGACGCUCACCGACAACAGAACCGCAAUCAUCAAAACAGCAGUCAACUUGCGAUUGCGAUUCAUUUAAAAUGUCAGUUCAUUCGAUUCAUAAAAAAACAUGAAACAGAAAACGAAAAGAAAAAAAAAAUAGAUCGAGCUGGUCUUUGUUGAUUUACCCUGUCACUAUAUAGAACAAAAGCAGAGCAAUGAGAACGAGAAGGAUCAAUGCAAGGCCAAGGACAAACUCCAUUUCUACAAAGCAAAAUAAAGAGAUAAAUGAUAAUUGAAAAGAAAAAAAAGUGUAUCAAACAAACAAACCUUUAUGAGAAUUUGAGUAGAAUAGAAGAAGAGAAAGAGAUUGAGAACAGAGAGAAAUUAGUUUCAUACACUUUUUGAAUUUCAAAUUUAACUUUUGCUAUAUAGCUCUUAUAUAUAGUUAGAAUUCUGCUCUUUAUCCAAAAAAAAUUAUCAUUUUCAAAUGAAAAUACCAUUUUGCCCCUUUAUUAAUAUGCAAUUUUAUUUUUUAAUUUAUUUAAUACGCAAUUUUAAUAUGCAAAUUCACGUCGGGUUUAAUUAGUGUUCGAAGACAUUAUAUUAUUUAGAUGAAAUCAUAAAAUAAACGCAAAUAUAUUAUUUAAAUUUGAAAUUUGAAUGGAAGAGAGAUUUUUAGCAAAUCCACUAGUAGAGAUGUGCUGCCAAAUUUUUUAUAAUAAUACAUUUAAGGCAAAAUUACACAAAUGGUCCUAUAACUUAUUUUUAGGUAACGUUUUCGUCCUCUAUCUUUUUUUUUUCCCAUUUUCAUCCUUUAUCUUUUUAAAAUGUUUCACCGUUACCCUUCUGUUAACCAUCUGUUAAAAAAAACUCUAUUCUAAUUACCUUUUUACCCUUUUAUAAUUACUCUCUUUUUCUUUGUUAUUUUCAGAAACGCGUUCACACACAGAGAACAUAAACGCGAUUGAGAAGAAGGAAAAUAGAAGAUGAAAACCUAGAACACUAAGCUUGAUGAUGUGAUUCGAAAAACCAGGAAAAUGCUACUAUUCGAUUUGAAAAGUUCUGCGAUUUGAAACGGCACAGAGUUCUGCGAUUUGAAGUUGCAAUUUCAAAAACCUAGAAACCCUAAUUGAUUUUGAUUCUGCGAUUUGAAGGUAUGUAUCUGCAAUUUAAUGAAUUUAUUUGUUUUUCCGAAUCAUUAUGUGUUUCUAAUGUUGCUUUGAUUCAUGAACAUGCUAAAAACCCUCUCUAUAUUUCUUGUUCUUUGUAGCAAACCACUCUGUUAUAUUUCUUGUUCUGUUUCUAUCUAAAGCAUGCUGAAAAAAAAUACAUUUUGAUUAGUUUACUAUCUAUGUCAUGUUGUAUGUUUUUAUGUGUUUCUACUGUUGCUUUGGUUAUUUAUUUAUGCAUGUUGCAUAUGUGGUCCCUAUUUUUUGGUAGUGAUUUGUUGUGGUCCCUACCUAUAUGUUUAAUAGUUUUCCAUUGAUUAUGUUUUUGUCAUUAUUCAGAUGUCUACAAUAUCCGUUGAUAUUCAUCAUGGUGGCUAUUUUAUCGACCAAUCAAAGAAUGUGUACGAAGGUGAAGUGUCAAAUUGGAUUUGUGACACUGACUAUUGGUGUUUUUUUGAUAUUGAAGAAUAUGUUGGCAAAUUGGGGUACAAGGAUAACAUUAGCAUGUGGUAUGAGGUUGGUGGUGUUAAAAAGUGCCUAUAAGAUGAUACUGGAGCUAAUGAAAUGAGUGAUUGGGCCAAGGGUAAUGGAAAAGUGCAUUUGUUUCUAGUACAUUCAGUGUCACAGCCCAACUAUAUUAUCUAUAGUGAAGCCCAACCUGAAAUGCAUGAUGGAGACUCUGAUGAUAGUGCCUUGGAUGUGGGAUUUGGAGACUCGGAUGAUGAGCUGCUCAUUAAUGAUGGUUUUGGUGAUGUACAAACAGAAGUUGAUGUUCUUGGGGAAAUAACACCAACUAUUGAGGAUAAUGAGGAAAGAAGGAAAAGGUUAGGUGCUAAAAAGAGGAAGGGGGCAGAAAAUGAAGGAAAUUCAAGUAAAAAAAAGAAGGCCCCAACUGGUAAGAAAAGAGGGAGACCUAAGAAGACCAUAGUUGAGAAAGAUCUAAACGUGGAACUAAGUGUAGAGCUAAAUAUUUUAAUUGAUGAUGAUGAUUUCAAUUGGGGUACAACGAAAAGGCAAGAGCUUGUGAUGCCACAUAGAGGGUUGUCUGACGAUGAGUAUGUGUCUGAAGAGUUAGUUAGUGAUGAAUCGGGAGAGAAUAGUGACGAGGAAAGUACUAAAAAGAAGUUUUCAGGUUUUGUCAUGCCAAAAAAUAUGCUCGACUACAAGUGGGUCUUGGGUACACUUUUCUCAGACAGAGAGGAAUUUAAGGCUGCAAUUGCAACUUAUGCUGUUCAUAAUGGGGUCGAUGUGAAGAUGAUCAAGAAUGAUAAAAUAAGAGUGAGGGUUGUAUGCAAGGACCCGUGUCAGUGGAUGGCUUAUUGUGCUAAACUUCCCGAUGAAGAUACAUGGCAAUUGAGGAAAUUGUAUGACAAACAUUCUUGUCCCAAGGAUUAUAAAGUCUCAUUAAUGAAAUCAAGUUGGCUGGGGAAAAGAUUAGAGUCAACAGUGAGGGAGACUCCUAAUAUUACACUGACAUCUAUUUCAAACAAAGCACAUCAAAAGUGGAAUGUUGGAGUGAGUAAGAUGAAAGCUUAUAGGGCUCGUAGGGUUGCAAUUGAUUUGGUUGAUGGAUCAUUUAGAGAACAAUAUCUUAGAUUGUAUGAUUACUCUCAUGAACUAAUGAGAUCUAAUCCACUAAGUACUGUCAAGGUGCAAAUUCAACCUACAAUGGUAGAAGAUAGACGGGAGAACAAUGAGGAAAUUUAUGUGGAUAGACCCUUGCUGCCAAGUUUCCAACGCCUAUACAUGUGUCUUAAUGGCUGUAAAGAGAGUUUCAAAGUGUGCAGGCCUAUUAUUGGCCUUGAUGGUUGUUUUCUUAAAGGUUAUUAUGGAGGUCAAAUACUUGCUGCUGUGGGUAGAGACCCAAAUGACCAAAUGCUCCCAAUUGCUGUGGCUGUUGUUGAAAGUGAAACAAAAGAUUCAUGGGAUUGGUUCCUUAAACUGCUAGUUGACAAUUUGGGUGGUCCAGAAGCAUGUAAUUCGUACACAUUCAUAUCUGAUCAACAAAAGGUUAGUUUCAAUAUCAUAAUUAUUUCUAAUUGAUUAUAAUAUUCAUAGUUGAUUAUGCAUAUAGACUAUAAUAUGAAUAACUUAUUAUACAUAUUGAUUAUUUGGUUUAAGGGACUUUUACCUGCCAUGGAGGCGGUUCUUCCUGAUGUUGAACAAAGGUUUUGUGUAAGACACUUGUAUAAUAAUUUUAGAAAAAAGCAUCCGGGUAAGAAACUCAAGGAGUUAAUGUGGAAGGCAGCCAAGGCUACAUAUUUUCAAGCAUGGGAGAGGGAGAUGAAAGAAAUAAGGAAGGUUAGUGAAGAAGCUUAUAAAUAUUUGCUGAAGAUUCCACAAAAGCAUUGGUCGAAAUCAAGAUUUUCAUUCAAUUCAAAGUGUGAUGUAUUAGUCAACAAUAUGUCAGAAACCUUCAAUAGUGUAAUAAUUGGACCCAGGGGAAAGCCAAUUGUUACAAUGUUUGAAGACAUCAGAGGUUAUUUUAUGGAAAGGUGGGCAACAAACAGAACUAAGAUACAAGCAUAUGAUGGCUCUGUUUUGCCUAACAUAAAGAAAAAACUGCAGAAAGAGUGUGAGUUAUCAAAGAAUUGGGGAUGCAGGUAUGCUUUUGUCAUAUUCUAACUUUGUAAAUGAAUAUGUAUCUAAUAUGGUUCAGUUUUUUAUAAAUGUAUGUUUCUGCUAAGUGCUUUUGCUUUUUGGUUUGUCUAAAUGCUAAGUGUUUUUCUACUAUAAUAAUAUCAUGAUUUCUUGCCUUCUGUUAUGAGUUUUUCUAAAUGUCGUAAUAUGGUUCAGUUUUAGACUUUUAACUAGUGUAUAUAUAUAUAUAUGCUUAUGUUUGACAAGGUUUUCGGCUGAGAAUAUCUAUGGGGUGUAUGCCCUCAAUCACACAGGAGAGUCCUUUACAGUAAGUCUGGAAAAGAAAGAAUGUUCUUGCAGGAAAUGGAUGCUUACUGGAAUACCUUGUUGUCACGCAGUAGCAAGCUGCAUAUUUGCCAAACAAGAUCCGGAAAACUUGAUUCCUGAUUGUUACAGAGUAGAGAAAUAUGAGGCUUGUUACCGUCCUAUCAUUUAUCCACCAAAUGGAAAGAACCUGUGGGUUUCAACUCCAUAUUCAGAUAUAUUACCACCCCCUUUAAGGAAACUUCCUGGAAGACCGAAAAGGAAAAGGAACAAAGAUGGUGAUGAGAAAGCGAGAGAUUCUUCACUUGUUAGUAGAAAAGGAAUGCCCGCUAGAUGUUCUACAUGCAAACAACCUGGUCAUAACAAAACUUCUUGUAAAGGGCCCUCAAUUCCAACUGUAACAAAUCAGACUCAAAACGCACCUAAUCAGAGCCAAACUGCACAACCUGCGCCUGGUGUUGGUCAGAAUGCAACACAGACCCAAACUGUUGCUACAUCUCAGAAAAAGCCUAGAGGAAGACCUCGAAAAGUCAAUGUUGCUGCAAGUACUCAGCCUGUUACUAGUAGUAUCUCUGCAACAUCAAAUAUGGUAACAAAUAUAUCUGGUGCAAAUUCUCAACCUACUGCAAGCUCAAGAUAUUCAACAACAACUCACUUUGCUAGACAAAAGAUGAAAAUAUGGAGGCCAUGAUAUUUGAUGACAGUUUGUUUAAUGUAUUUUUUGGGCAACUUUUGUGAUGUCUUACUUUGGAACCUAAUGUCUUUUUGUAUGCAGCUCUUGUACUGCCUUUAUGUUGGAAUUUUAUUACUUUCAAACCUUAUGUCGUUUUGUAAGCAGCUUGUACUGCCUUUAAGUUAGAAUUUGUGGCAGUAUGUAUUUAUGCAGUUAAUUAGUUAUGACUGAUUUUGUAACAAUGACAAAAGUUGCAUUAUGUUAUUAUGGGAGAAGUUAUUAUAACAAAAGUUAAUUACUAUUGAUACCAAUUGAUAUUAUUGCGUAUGAACCUAUUAAUUGAAACUACAUGACACCAAUUAUUUGACACAAAUUGGUAGAGGAAAUUAUUAUGGCAGCUGGGUUUUGUUUUUUGGUCUUGGUUUGGCCAUUUGUAAUUGCUUAUGUUCUGUCCGUAUCCGUCCAUGGCUUGUUAGUGCUUCUCGCACGGGCUAGUGGCUAAUAAUAUUUUGCCGAUUAAAAAAAAAAAACUCUUGCAAAAUCAAAUGAGAUCAAGUCACCAAUUUGUUGACACUAACUCAUUCAGUCGGACUAUAUCAAUACAUAAUUGUUGAGUACAUUCAUCGAGUACAUUCAAUACAUAAUUUCUUAACAAUCGAACAACCUUAUUUGAUCAACUUAAACAUAAAAGUUACACCAAAUAAAAGAUGAUAAUCAAAAUCUUCAUCCAACUUUUUGUUGAGUUGUGGUCCAUUUGCAUCUUCAGGAUAACAUUCUUAAGCGUCCUUGAUUCCAAUUCCAUUUGCAUCCAGAAUUAAUGUUACUAGCCUACAAUUUAUGAAGAAAAAAAAACCAUUAAAAUUAAGGCAAAAUUAACUAGUGAUAACAGAUCUGAAAAGGAUUAGCAAGAGAGAACAAGGUAUGUAUGUAAUAAUAUGUAUGAAUACUCACCACAAAGUUCCUACAACCCCAAAAUUUUCUUCCUCUAUUAGGACCCAUUUUCGUCACUGUUCUAAUAACAUGUAGCAUCUUACAGAAACAUUCUCGCGUGAACAGGUUGCGUCCCCCAGAAAUGAAAGAACCGGAAAAUGAUUGUGUGUGUGAACCUUGUGUGCGUAAGGAUGCCAUGAAUUUUGAGAUUUGAUUUUUUAGGGUUCUUGCAGGUUGAAGGGUGAUUGAGAAGAAGCUUGUGUGAACAUUAGAGAAGAUGAACAUAACGUUAAUUUUUUUUUUUAACAGACUAGUUAACAGAUUCCACUUAAAGGAUUGUUGUGCAACAUUUUAAAAAGAUAAAGGAUGAAAAUGGGAAAAAAAAAAGAUAAAGGACGAAAACGUUACCUAAAAAUAAGUUAUGGGACCAUUUCUGUAAUUUUGCCUACAUUUAAAUAGACAAAAAAAAAUUAAUGUAUACUAAUAAGCUUAAAUUACUGAAAAAUUAAUAUAAUAAUAAUAAAUUAUUCAUAUUUACUUAAAUAGGCCGACCUAAUAGGCCUAAGAGGCUUUUUGAAUGGCCUAUGAUCUGGCCUUUAAAGCUAAAUAGGCUUCUAAAAAAGCCUAGACCUUCUCUGUUUAAGAAUAAAGGCUGGCCUGACAUGGCCUGGUCUAUUCCCAUCCCUAUCCACCAGCAUGUGAGCAUCCACAAUCCUCAUCCGUCUCUAAUGAAAUACUCCUUCCACCUCCGAUCACUAUUAUAACAAAAAACUAUAUUUUAAAUUUAUUCAAUAACUAAUGUAUCUCAUCAAUAAUAUAAACUAGAUAUCUCAGUUAUUUAAGAUGCGUAUGUUCCGGCUUUAAAAAAAAAGAUUUUGGGUAAAAAAGAUUUGAAAUUUUUUUUAAGAUUUUUCUUGUUUUAGAAAUAAAAAUAUUUUAGAAAAACUACUAGUCAGGAAUAACGUUUCAUUUUUUAGUUGAGUUAGAAGUAAUUCGUAACAUUUCAUCUGAACAUCUUGGUUAUCCUUUCUAAGGACUACAAAAGUUAUACUCCCUCCGUCCCUCUAUCUAAACACCAUUUUAUUAGAUGCACCAUGUUUUUCAAUUUCUUAAUCUAUAGAAAGAAUAUUGAUAACAUUUUCCAUUUUUUAAACUACAUGUGAAAAAACCCAACGAAAGUGAAUCAACCAAUUUUGGUUGUGGGCCCCACUUAGAUUUUCUUGCCACUACACUGACACGCUAACUCUGACGAUUAUAGUAUCUAAACGAUUUCGCUCAUUUUCAAGUGAAAAUACGGUGCCCUUACGUGACUUAAGUAACUCACGCCGCGUGAGUUAAGUCACGUUGGUUGUUUUUCGAUAUUUGCUUUUGUUGUUGAUGGUGAAAUACGAUUGCCACACAAACUUCUUUCUUCGAGUCCUGUUUAUUUUUUUAUGUUUAAUCAACACAAAGAGUGCAACCGAUUUUCCUAUUUUAUCUUGUUAUUGCCUUUAACUAUGAAAGAAAUCAAAGUAGUAUUAUAACAUUCAUGCAAUGAAGAGAAACAAACAAAAGGAAAUUAUUCUGGAACAUAGGAAAAUCAAACCUUUGUUUCGGUUUGUAUUCCAUGUGCAAAUAGUGAUAUUAGUAUCAAUGAAACCAUAGUUGAUUUAUAAUUUUUAUAUUGUUUAGUUUAUGAAAGAUUGAAAGUAGUCUAUAUAUUUUUGGUUUAGAAUUAUAUAUGCUUGAGAAAAUGUAUCAAAAAGUCAUAAAUUAAAUAAUUUUCACCUCAAGGCUCAAGUCAUGUUCGUGACAUGCAGCACGCAGUUACUUUUCCUUAAUCAGCAAGUAGUUGUUGAAUUUUAUUGCUGGUCAAAUUCUCCACUUUUUUUUAUUUAAAGUCACAUAUUCGUUUUGUUGAAUUCCUCUUGGUCUAUUAAAUGUCUUUGAUGUUCUUUGUGACUGAAUUUUAUGGUUUGAUUUUCUUUUCCUCUAAAGCAGCAUACCCUUCCAAAUAGACUAGAGAAAUAUAUAAUAUGCAAUAAUAAUAUACUGGCAAAGUAAACAUAUUCUUCUUUUCAUUUUUAUUUUUCCACAACUGUUUGCCUUGAUUUUAUUUUUUAUUCAAUACUAACACAAUGGCUAAUUUUAAUUAAUUAAUCAUUUUCAAACAUAGGUUAACAUUGAAGAUAAAAAGGUCUGGCUCUCUGGCUAAUCAAUCCCAUGAAUCAUGAUUCAAAGUUACUUCACUGAUGCAAUAUUUUCAAUUAGGAAAACGCAAGACGACAUAUUAUUGCAAGUGCUGCCAAGACCAAAAUCACAUAUUACAACCUUUUGUCCGAUACACAUCUCCAAACCAACAACGCUCCCUUUCUAGACAAUCUAAAACAAAUUAGGUAGAGAUAUUGAUGAUGGUGGAAUAUUGACUAUUUGGAUGAUAUGUAAAAAAAAUUAUAUAUAUAUAUCAUAAAACUAACAAGAAGCCUUGUAAAAAUUCGGAUGAUAUAUAAAGAAAGUUAUACUGUGUCCUGAACUUUAAUGAGAGCUUUAGAGAUUUAUCAAAGAGUAGACCUUUGAUAGGUGAGGUCAAGAAACGUUGAGUUAUGAGACCGAAUCGUCGAUUCAGCUACUAGUAAUCCACUAUGAUUCACGGAUCACAUUUUGAUUGUCAUCAAGGGUCAUAAUUUGAUCAUGAGAACUGAUUUAAUGUUUUGGUGAACAUGGUGUUGCUUAUUCAGAGCUGGCCCAACAAAUUAAGAGGCCUAAAGCAAAAAAGUUAACGAGACGUUUAAAAAUAUAUAUUUGAAGAAAAUAUUUAGAAAAGAAAAAAAAACAAUAUUUUCUUGAAGACUCAAAGUAUUUUGAGGCCUUCGUUAAUACCCCAAAUUUUUUAGGCCUAAAGACAUUGUUUAGGUUGCUUGAUCCUUAGGUCGGCUCUGAGUUGGAUCAUGAAUCCUUCACAGCUUAUUCAUUGGUUUAGUCUUGAACAAGAAUAAUUGAACUUAUAUGUUGCAUUUUAGAUUUCAAACAUGCUAAAAGUCAUUUUCAUUGUUUUUGAAAAGCACACACGGGCACUCAUCACUUGCAUUUUUGAAACAAUGAACUUAUUUAGAAGGACCAAAAACUUAUUUAAUGAAAAUGUUAAAUCUGUUUCUAAAAUUGUAAAAGAAAGUGGGGAGGAAACCAUUGGAUCUACAUUGUAUUAUGUUUAUUAGUUGAACUAAAAAUGAAAACAGAAAAUAUAUGAAGUAAACAUUUUUUAUUAAAAACUAAUACAAAUAUAAAUUUUCAGAAAUGAAGAUAGAAACCAUUUUUUAUGAAGUAAACAUGCCUUUAUAUUUUCAUACUUUUCUCUCUCUCCCUUUUUCCAAUCUUUACCGGAGUUUUUCAAGUAAAUAGAAAAUGAAAACAAUUUAUCAUGGUGUGUAUUGGAAUAAACGAGGAUGCUAAAAACCUUGUUACACAUGUAUUCGUAAAUUACAUCUACCAAUAAGAUUUUUUUAUACUAGCUGUUGUAUAUUAAACAAAAAUAAUAAUAUCUUAAAUUGUCCGUUACAAAUUUAAGAUUACUUACAUUCUUAAUAGACAAGAAAUAAGUUUUUUUUCUUUUCUUCAGGUAGCUUAGUGGCUAGAAUUCACCUUAUAAGAUGAAUAAGUGGAGUGUCUAGAGUUCGAACCUCAGCCCUACAUAUAAUAAUGCAUUGUCCUACCAACUGAGCUAUACUCACGGGACGACAAGAAAUAUGUUUUAUUCUAAGAUUAAAUUAAUUUAAAUUUCAUUUCAAGGACAAAAGACAAUUCGUAGUCCAUCAACAUCAAGAUGGUUUUUUUUAGGUUAAAUUACAUCUGGGGUCCUUUAAGUUUGACGUUUGUAACAGAUUAAUCCUUUAAGUUAUUUUGGUCACAUAUAAGUCCUUUAAGUUUGAUAUUUGUAACAUAUUGGUCCUUUAAGUUAUUUUGGUCACACUUAAGUCUUUAAGUUUGAUAUUUGUAAUAGAUUGGUCCUUCUGCAACAUCAUCCUUUUGGUUAACAUAAGGACUAAAUUGAAAAGUUUUACAAACUUAAAUGACUUAUGUGUGACGAAAAUAACUUAAAGGACCAAUCCGUUACAAAUCUCAAACUUAAAUGACUUAUGUGUUACCAAAAUAACCUAAAAGACCAAUCUGUUACAAACGUCAAACUUAAAGGACUCCAAGUGUAAUUUAGCCUUUUUUUUAACAUGACAAAAAAUGAAAUUAUGUUAACAUAAACAAAAAGUUCUACCCAGCAAAAGAUGUAUAGUUCAAAAGGAAAGUGAAAUGCAAACAAGCAAUCCAAACUAAAUGGCUACUCCCAAACAAAAAAGGGGAAUAAACUGCUAAGAAUAAAAAUCAAAGAUGAAAGUAGAAUUUUUUGCCUUCAACUACCAAUAGAAGAGCAACUCUAUUUUGUCGACUCGACACGAAAAUGCAUAUAUUAUUCCUUCAAUCGAAAGAUGCGAGAAUUUCUUUCAUUUCAAAUCACUCAAACACAAGAUAACAAAAAUAGAUAUAACGAUUUUCUAAAAUUAGAUAUAGGCUGAAAAGUUUAAAAGAGGUUGAUAAAUCUCAAAUUAUUGCACCUUUUUUUUUAUAAAAAAUUAAAUUAAAUGCACUUCUUAAAGAUAAUUUUAGAGUAAUUUAGAAUGAUUAUAAUCUAUUACUUGAACUAAUUAAUUUGAUCUCUUUUUAUCAAUUUUACGUGGGAAAGAAUCUAAUAAAAUUAGGUAAUUUGGAUUCUGUUUUGAUUUUUGAUUUUUAUUUAUUUAUUUUUAAAAUGGAAAACGGUCAUCACUUUUUUUGUUAAGGUGAGCAUUCGAAGCACAUGUUGGAGUGCAGGAAGAAAGAAAGAAAAAAAAAUCACUAAUUAAUUACACAUUGAUUUCCCAACCCUCGUGAAUGAAUGUCUGAAUGGGCCUGGCCUACGCACAAACCAAAGUCUCUUUCUUUUUUGUCGAUCAUAAACAUUUGCAAAAUUGUUAACGAGUGCUUCCGGAUCACUAUUUAAACACUUAAAAUGAUAAAUUUUAUAUAAAAAAUUAUGUAAUGAAUACAUUGAAAAUUAUAAUUGUUGAUUUUUUAAAAGAAAAAUUUCUAAAUUUAAGAUGUUUAAAGAAUGCUUUGAAGACACACGUUAACAAGACCCUAAACAUUUUCAAAGCACCCACUGUUUUUUAAAUGGCCAAAUCACGAGAAAAUUUUCACGGAAUUAUAUGACAAUUAUGUGUUAAAUUAAAAGUUCUUUUAUUUACUAGAAAUUUAUUGUGAGAAUUUUAGAAGAGGUUGAUAAAUCUCAAUGCACCUAUUUUUAUAUUAAAAAUUAUUAGAAGAAAAUUUAAAAGAUAUUUUUAGAAGAGGUUGAUAAAUCUCGACAAAAUAAUCGACAAUACUAGGUUUUCGAUCACCCGCAUUCUUAACCAUAGCUAUAAAUAAACGACAUAUAAUUGCAAAAAUAAUUAAUUAAUAUGUAUCUAAUAUAAAGUAAGAACAUAAAUAAAUCAAAAAAAUAAUAAUUAGGGAGCAAGCACUGCCUUGAAAAAAAUUGAGAAAUUUCUAAGUCCCUAGUGGUAGGUAACUGUAGCUUGAUCUUCAUCCGCAAUGGUAUUUAACUUGAGCUGCAUGUCAGAAGAAAAAAAUGCAUAAAAAUGGCUCAAAUAGAAACGAGUUUAAUGAUCCAAUACAUGUUUCUUGACGUCAAAUGUGUGUAGAAAUUUUCUAGCAAUCAUUCUACAAUGAUUUGGAACCAAGAUUUAAGAAUUUUUUUUAUAAGGUAAGGUGAUGAAUAAAUAGGAGGUAGGGCUGUACUACUUAUGGAGGGAAAAUCGUUAAGGUGAUUAACUUCUGUUGAGUUCAGCGGUGGUUGACUACUGUCGAUUGCUUAGCGGUACUUAACUACUGUUGGAGCCAUUUUAAAAUUUUCCAUGUAUUUUUACGAACUUCAUGAUGUUAGAAAAGCAAUUUUCUAAGUUUGGUGCCUUGGACUAAUAAGGGCCUUAUUGCAUAUUUCGAUGGGCCGGCCAUGUUCUCAUGUAUCCAUCCCUCUUCAAAUAAAAUAAUACAGUAAAAAGAAAAUGGAGAACUUCUCAAUACAUAAAAGUUGUUAAUCACGUCAAUGAUGACAGAUGAUUGCAUGACCCAAGCUUUGUUGGGGCCCACCUAGAUUUUCUUCCCAAUAACCCGACAUACUGACUCUGAGGUUUUAUAUUCCUAUGAACAUGACAUAAUAAUCGGUAUCACGACGUGCACACUUCGAUUUCGUGGACCCCACAUAGGUCGUUGCCUGCAGCCGCCAAUUUUUCAGCAUUUACAAUUUACAAUAAACAGCAUUUUACGGUGUGCUCCCUCCGGUCUCAAAUGUAGGGAAAAAACAAAAAAAAUUGUGGUCUCAAAUGUAAGAAAAAGUAUAGUAAAAGCAACCUAAUAAAUGCUACUAUUCCAAUUUUAUCCCAUCUCCAUGAGUUCAAAAGUCACUUUCAUUAAUUAUUACUAAAACAUGACAAGGGCAAAAUUGGAAAGUUGUACUUUUUUAACAUGAUGUAAUCAUUUCAUUUUCUUAAUUGGUGUGUUUUUUUUCCCUACAUUUGAGACCGAAGGGAGUAUUUAUCAACCUUUUUCUAAGUGUAACACUUCCUAAACCAAAUAAAUACGGGCUUCCUAAGCCCAUAUCAUAUUUAAUUUUGUUAUUUCAAAAAAUUAUUUUUUUCAAAGAGAAAUUAAAUGCAAAUUAUAUUUAUUAUACCCUCUCUUUCAUUUUCUCUAUAAUUAAUAUCCAAUGAAAAUUGUUUUUACAACUUUCUAUGAAAGUUAUUCUAAAGAUGACACAAGAAACUAUACUACAAACAAUGAUGUCUUAGUUUUCUUAAUAAAUGUGAAUUUUUUUUCGUUUAUAAUUUGGGAUUGUGGGAGUACCACCCACCUAAUCCUAUCAUCUCUAAUCUAUAUUACACCCUCGAUCUUAUUACAAGUGUUUCACAUGAGGAGAGUACCACCACAAUUAAUCAGAGCCAGCAAGCCUUCUUGAGGCGAAGGGUGCACUUUGAAUACAUCGUCAGCGGCUGCUCCCAUCUUUGUGCAAAAAUCAGAACAAUAGUUACCCUUUCUAAGAGUAUGAUGAAGAGUAAAAUUGUGGUUGCUCAGCAGGUCUUUGAUGUCUUGUAGGAGGACAGCAGCAGCAGGUCUUUGAUGUCUUGUAGGAGGACAGCAGCUCUCUCUCUUCAGUACUUUAGAUAUUUAAUUUUUUUUUUUUUAAGCAAAAGGAUGUGCAGACGGAGAACCAACUGCAACACCCUAAAAAUAUAUAGAUAAAAAGAAACACCACAAAAAAAAAAACAAAAGGACAUAAACCAAAACCAUCUCAAACAAGAAAAAAACAAAACAGAAAACAAAGCAAGAAAAAAUAAAAAGAAACAGAAAACAAAAGAUAUUUAAGUUCAAAUCAAUUGGAAAUUUAACAUUUUAUUUUUCAAUCGUUUGCACCUUUAAAACUCAGAGUUCAUUUCAUAGACAUUUUAAAAACUACUCCACAUGUGAAUCUACAUAUUAACUUGUUUAGACUUAUGUAAUCAUAUUUAUUAAAAUAUUUAUUUGUGUUAUGAAUUUAAUCAAUUUUCUUUAAACAAAAAAAUCUCGUAAAUGUAUAUAUAAUAAAAAUAAAUUGGCAUUUAUACGGUUAUGCCUUUAUAAAAUGUUCAAAAAAUAAAAGAAUUCUCCUUUUCUCCCAACAAAAUUCACUCGCGCCCAGUUGAACUUUUGAAAAUACCCAUGCGUUAGUUAAGUCACGCUGCGUGACUUAAAUCACGCACCUUAUAGCUCUGCGUGACUUAAGUCAUGCACCACUGACUUGGGCGCGAGUUAACUCACGCAGGUUGGCCGGUUGGUCAGAGCUCAAAAACAUAUUUUUUGGACUUUGGUCUGCUUUUCAACUUUCAAUCUACACGUUAUUUUUUACCAAGUUUACACGUUUUUUGACAACAUCUAUGGUUGCUAUAACCUAUACCACCAUUCCCACCUAUAAAUACCCCUCCAUACUUUCUUAUUUCCUCACACCAUAUCACUUUCUCUCCCUCCUCACUCUCUCCCUCGAUUUCUCUUUUUUUUUUUUUUUUUUUUUUCUUUUUCAAUAGUCUCUAGUCUCUUUUUACCCCUUUGAGGUAUAAGGUGGUCGCUUUUCAAUUUGUUCAUUUCUUUUUAUUUAUUUUAUAUUUUCAUUUAUUUAAUGAAUAAAUUUGAAUAAAUAUUUAUUUUAUGUAAAUAAAUAAAUUAGAAUAACAUAAAUAAAUAAAUUAGAAUAAAGUGAAUAAAAAAGUAGAGUAAAAUAAACAAAUAAAUUAGAAUGAAGUGAACAAAUUAAUUAGAAUAAAGUAAAUAAAUUAAUUUGAAUAAAGUAAAUAAAUUAAUUAGAAUAAAGUAAAUAAAUAAAUUUGAAUAAAAGUGAACAAAUUAAUUAAAAUAAAGUAAAUAUAUAAAUGUGAAUAAAAGUGAAGAAAUUAAUUAGAAUAAAUUUAACACUUGUUUUACUUAACUAACACAACGUUAGUUAUGUUGCGGCAUUUCAAUUGGGCGCGAGCAAAACUUGUUGGAAGAAGAGCAGAAUUCAAAAUAAAAUUGAUUUUGAAUGGGUUAUGGCCCAAUUCUAAGGUCACAGGCCCAAUCUUGGAGUCAAAGAUCCAACAAUGCAUACAAGUCUAGUCUGCGACGAAGCUAGCCAAAUAUUUAUGAGAUGACUAAAUAUAACAAAACAAGACAAAAAAUAAUUUAAUAUAUUAAAUUUAAUCUAAAAAAACAAUAAUUUUACUUAUAUAAAAUGUAAAUUAAUGUAGUACUAUAAAAAAAAUAAAAACUAAUAAACCUCUCUUUUUAAUUUGCUUAAUAUACCGAAAGUAUCAAAAUAGGAUGAAAUAAAUCUGUCAAACAAGUCAUAAUCUUUUGAGUAUUUUAUUACUCCUAGCUUUUAACAAAUAAAAUUAUUUGGAGUAGUGAAAUAUAUUUUAUUGUAAUAGCUAAACAUAUAAUCAGCGGCGAAGCUCGCAAAAAAUUUAUGCAAGGGCAACUAUAAAAAGAUUUUUUUUUUUAAAACGAACAUAUAUUUUUAAGGAUAAAAUAUAUUUUUAGUCACAUAAAUUAUAAUUUUUGAUGUUGAGUCCUUAAUAAAAAUUAUUCAAUUUUUAUCUCGGUUUUUGAAAAUUUACUAAAACAAAGUAUUUUUAGUCUUGAAUUUAAUCUUUAACAAAAAAUUAAGGACUAAAAUUAACAAAUCUUAGAAACUUAACAUAAAAAUCGCUAUUUAGAAACGUUGGGCAAAAUGCGUUUCAAGAACCCAAUUUCAUCAAUAAUAGACUGUUUAAUAAUAGAUUAAUAAUGUCUUUUCAAAUGUAAAUAAAUAGGUUAUUUACAAGAAACUCACCGUCCAUUUAAUUUGUCUAUGACUAUUGUCUUGAUAAUUUUUAUUGUUGAAAAAAGUUUUUCUAUUGUUGUUAUUGAGAUCAAGAGUAUCAAACAAAUACAAAUAAAUCUAUCCAUCUUGUAGUAAUUUUUUAUUUAUUAUGUAUGCUAAUUUUUGCAACGAAAUUUGUUUGGGGUAGCUCAAUAUUUAUUAUUUGGGGUAGCCGAAUAAAAAUACAUACCGACCACUUAAAAGAAUAAUUUUUUUUUUGGGGUAGCCAAGCUACCCCUCCCAUAUGAAGGGCUAUGCCCCUGCAUAUAAUACACUUAAUUAUACAAAUAAAAGAAAUAAUUUUUGUGGUAGCCAAAGCUACCCCAUUGUAACACAUAGUUGUGUCAUUGAGUCCGAUACAUACCACAUAUGCAAGUGAAGAAUUAUGCUAUAAUUAAUCGAAUAUUUGGAGCCAAUAUAAGGCGUCAAAACAAUCAGACCGUCUCUCGGCCAUGCACCGUAAACGACAUGCACAAUCAAAAUUUUAUAAAUAGAGUGUUCGACCACUAAAAUAUGUACACAUUGUUAUUCUAAGAAAAACCUCAAAGCACAUUGAACACCUCACUGACUAGAGUGUUGUAAUGUCUUUGCAAGUACAUCAUCUCACUUCAUCGAGGAACAACAGUGCUACAAUGAAGAUUCACUGGGCUUAAGCACAUAACCAAAACUUAUUAUUGCAUCACACCUUUGAUCUUCACUUCUGAUCGCUUCUGCAUAAAAAAUAAAUAAGAACAAAUUCACAAUUUUUGCCAUAUUUAAAAUGUCUCGUUUUCUUUUACUUUUCACAAGACUUCUUUUUUUGUUUUAAUCUUCCAUUUUUCAUGAAAAAAGACUUAACAAUCCUAAAUUCUAUUAAGGAUUGUCCUAAGCAGGUUUUAAACUCGAAUUCUCGAUAACGAUUCGUCAUUGGUCAAACUCAAUAGUAUCUAACUACACGAUCACUUUUGAUCUCAAAUGCCAAUGCCACAAUCCAUGACUUGAUGGCCAAAUCCCCAGUCAUCAAUAAACUAAUAAGGAAGUCAAAUAAUCUUCACCAAAUUAAAAAGCUGACGUAAUAAAGGCAAGCUGCUGUCAAUUUCCAACUCAAAUUCUUUUUCUUAUGGUACAAACUGCCAAAUUAAUUAUAUGCUCAUCCAAAUAAACCCCAUUAAAAUAAAAUAAUUCUCAUAAUGACGUGAUAUGUUGUCACCAUUGGAAAAAUAUAAAAGUGGACCUUCAUGACUUAAUCCUGCUCGAGUUAAACGUAAUCAAGGUGCCGCUAGGUGGGACGAUUGACAUUGACUGUUAUCCAAGAAAAAGCUUUUAAUUUGUCGACAACAAAAAAAGCCAUCUAACAUUAUGGUUUUCAAUCCUUUUGGUUUUGGAAUUUGAUUAGCAUGACGACAUCUAUUUUGUUUAUAAGACAGAUUCCAAAUUUUGUAGAAGUUAGUGCUAACAUGUAUGCGGUUAGAGACUUAGAGUUUUGAAUAUAAAUGCUUCUUAAAAAAAAAUCUCUUAACUUCAAAAAAAUCUCUUAAUUAAAAAAAAACCUCUUAAUUUAAAAAAUCUCAGGGUGCGCACACCCUCACCUAUGAAUGAGUACGUUCCUGUUUGUGGCCAUACAUAUAAUCAAAUAAACUCAUACGGUGAUCCAAAUUCCAUAUAUAUUUUUUAAUUAUAAAAAAUUGUUUAAAAUUUCUGUAUAUUUUUUGGACAUUAUAAAAUAUAAUAUUUUACCAUCCAAAGUUGGAAUUUGAAAGAUAAAUAUCAUUAAUAAUAUAUAAAGGGAUAAUGAUAAUACUAAUAAUCCCUUAAGAUGGGCACUUUCCUUAUUCAAGGCAGAAGAAGUGAGGUUGGAUUUUUCUUCUAUAUAAAAUUAAAAAACAACAAAUUUCGACAUACCUUUCUAAAGUCUAAGAACGAAUUGCCAUGAGCCCAUGACGUAACGGUUGACAACACAGUUAAGUUGAAAAAUAGAGGAAAGAGAUAAACAAAAAAUAUAAAGUGAAAACGACUUGCGUUCUUGCCACAUCGUAAACGAGGUGAGGAAUAUUUGAAGUUUUGGCACACAAUUCAUAUGAAAGUGAAAAUAAAAUUUAGUAUGUGUAAAUUUUCAAAGAUACUUGCUUGCAUCAAGUAUGUGUAAAUUUUAGAUGCAAGUGCAAAUAAAAUUUAGUGUAAAAUUUUUCAAACACCUCACUUGGUUGCUUGCAGAGAGUCCCUCCUUCCGGUUUGAACUUUGAAGGAUUUACAAAAUUAAGGAAGUGUUAGUAUAGACCCAUUCCAUAUUGGACAAGUAGGUUAACUUUCAAAAUGGGUCUUUUAUUAUGAGUUAACCUUUUUUAACAAAAUUAAAUCAAGCAUUGAACAAGUAAAAGUGACCAUUUAUACACAUGUUAUUUGUUAAGAUAAAUGGUUGUUUGCAUUAAUUCAUGUGAAUUCCAAUAAAUAUAAAGAAAAGUUUGAUUUAAUUGACUGUGGCAUCAUUAAUAGAUCCUUUCUCUAAAAAAAAAACAGGAUCAUUAGUAAAAGUCUCAUCAACGUCACAUCCUUUAAUUGUUCAAAAAAAUCCACAGCCUUGAAUGGAUUAGUCUAAAAUUAGUAGUACUUUGCCAACAUGAGACAAACUCUUGUCAAAAAGUCCACAUAACAUACCCUUGUCAAGUUGUGCCCGUCGGUGUAUUUUUAUUAAAUAUUAUUUGAACGUAACAUACCCUUGUCAAGUUGUGCUCGUCGGUAUAUUUUUAUUAAAUAUUAUUAUUUAAACGUAACAUAUCCUUGUCAAGUUGUCCCCCUAAAAGAAUCCACAUAAUAGAAAUCGUUUAUACUCCCUCCUUAACCAUUUUCCCACUCAAUACUUACUUAUAUAUGGUACUUUGAUCUGGAUUAAUGAAUUACGAAAGAGAUUAAUUAAAUAAAUGUAAAACUUAUACUACUAUAAUGUAAAACAAAAAAGUAAAAUAAAUUAACCAUGUUUGGUUCUAUAAAUAAAGCCCCUCUCCAUUGCUCUCAUUGCACAUUUCCUCACUAUUUCAUUAACCCUCUAAACUUCUUCUUUUCUUCCCUUAAAAAAAAAUCUUAUUUUCUAUACUUAUUCACCUAAAAACCUUUUGUUUUAGCAAUGUCUGGUUCAAACAAGAACACCAAAGGAAAUAAGUUCCCCGGCAUGCAAGACGUUUUCGGUACAAGGCCACCCCAUAGAGAGAGCACUGGUGAUGCCAAUAACAAAACCAAAGGUACUAAGUUCCCAAGACUUCAGGAUAUUAUGUUCACUACAAGGCCUGGGACACGUGGAACUUGAUGAGCACACGGCACCAUUUUCCACUUUCACUAUGCUUUCUUUAAUUUUCAUGUAUGAUCAAGGUUCUCUUUUGAACUUUGAAGUGUCCCCUUUUCUUUUUGUAUUAAUUCCAUAGUUUUAUGUUAGUUUCGCUUCUUUGUUUUAGCCUUUGUUUAUGUUAAGGGAUACCUGUGUUUUUGUGACCUUUUAUAUUUCGUUAUGUUAAGGGACUUUUGCUAAGUUACGUUGUAUUUUCUUUCUGGUUAUUUGUUGUUCUUCUUUGCAGAGAUAGAAUAUUUUGUGUAUGAGUCUUAAUUAGCACUUAUUGUCCAUUCCCAUCUAUCUCUUUUCACUCUCACUUGCU
rnacentral:lncRNA from 1 species